GCCGGGUGCAGUGGCGCACGCCCGUCAUCCCAUGAGCUAGGGAGGCUGAGGCAGGGGGAUCACGAGUUCAAAGCCAGCCUCGGCAAAAGGGAGGCCCUAAGCAGCUCAGUGAGACACUGUCUCUA
rnacentral:sRNA from 1 species